ensembl:lncRNA
UGCAAGCCAAAUUUAAUACUUGUUGAUUACUUUAAAGCCUGUUUUUAAUUGCUAUUAAUCAAAAUUAUUACUUAAAGAAACUUUUGAUUUUGUUGUGGAUUUUAAAGCUCUGUGUCUAUGUAAUAAUUCAUGUGUAUAUUUACAUAUUCAUGUUGUAUAUUUACAAUUCUACAUGCAUCUUUAUGAGUCUUUAUGUUGCACUAAAAGCCUCCGUCGUUCUGACAGGCCUUCGAUCGGCCCGAUGAUGAACACUCACUGUGUCUGUCCCCCCCGGGCCGUCCCCGACUCGAGACGAUACCCACGAGACAACGUAACUUAAUUUAGGAGUGUGACUAAUUAAAACGGGCUCCGUAAUGGAAGGCACGCACACCGUGCUGCGUCUGUACAAACCCAUCCAGGAGCUGUGCUUCAUCAGUCUCUACUUCCCAACGAGGAAGUCCCGAGGUUUCUCAAGAACUGGCCAAACCCCUCGUGAAGCCCGGCCUCGGGAUGAAGACGCCAAACAAAGAGGCCAGUAUUACUGCGAGGGGACACAAGGAGCGGUCACACAGCUCCACUGGCUGGCCGCAGAACACCAUCAGCUGCUGACGGAGCUCCUGUCUUUAUGCAGCGCCUGCACAGACAGGAUUAAGAUGGGCAACCAGGACGGGAAGCUCCUGGACGGAUAUAGGGAACAUCUCGGAGGAGAUGUCAGCAGCACUUUUUCUCUGUCCCCGGAGCAUAAGAGAGCUGCUUCUAGAGUUCGUAAGCUGAAGAAGCUGGGUUCUCAGAAGAUGGACAGCGCUGAAGAGUUCUUGCAGAGUCGGAUAAAGAAUAAGGUGCAACGUGGAGCGUCUGAGUUUUCUCCGAAAGCACCCGGAACUCCGAUCUCCUUCCGUGGCCGGGAUACUCCAGGGUCAGACUCUUAUGUCAGUGUCUCCAGUGAGCCUUUUCUUUCAAUGGAGGAACACUUCCAGAUCGGCCACGAUGGCUGGGAAUUUAUGAAAGAACCUCAUUCUCCUGAAUCUGAGAUGGAUCUGUCGGAGUUUGAUAACCGACUCACUUUAGAGUACGAUAAAGCACUGGAAAACGGGAAUAAUGAGGGAAACCAACGAGGACCAUCAACCUUCGGAAGUUUGGAAACCAAUCAAAGAGACGUGAGAAGUGAUGAUGUGGCUACAACACAAAACCCUACGGCUUCCAAAGAGAGACUUGUGUCUGGUUCCAGCUUGGAUGUGGAUCACCGCAGCCAGCGAGCUGCACAAGAAGAGCUCAAGCUCUUCACUCCGGUGAACGCCGGGUCAAACUUCUCACCCUCCAACUCUAGAAGCUGUAAGCUUCGUUCCUGGAGCAGAAGCCCCACAUCCAUCUCUCUCUCUGGGCUCUUCAACGUGUCUUAUCCUCCCGCCAACAGUCUCCAGAGCGUGUCUCCUGUCCUGUCGCCUCUGUCUUCUCUCCUUCCGAGUCCCCAGAUGAACCACCGGAUUGUGUUGCUGCCUGAGGAUGAUGGAAAUAAACGCUCCUCGAGAGACGAGCCCAAAGUCACCAACGAGGUCACCGACAAAAACGGCAACCAUCGGACGGUCACACGUCUUGACCUGAACCUCAGCCAUCGUUUCUGUCUGAAUGGAGCCAGUACAUCGAGUGGCACGACCUCAGAAAAAUCUCUGUUGCGUCCGGAGGAUAUCUGGAUGCUGGAUGCGGAUGAAUCCAUUACCCAGGAGGCUUUGCGGCGUCCCAGCAGACCGGAUCACCUGGACUUCCUGAGAAUCACGCCGCCGGAGGAUGACAUCAUCGGAGACACUCCGUGCAAUCCCAAACUCGGACUGACGGUGAGUCAGUCAGCGCUGCGAUAAAAUUAAUGUAUUGUAGACUUCUGCGUUUAUUCUUGAUGUUUAUUCAGUAAGCAGCCUGAUUCAAAACAAUAAACAGGUAAUUGCAAUCUCA